CCAGACUCCUACGGGAGGCAGCAGUGGGGAAUAUUGGGCAAUGGGCGCAAGCCUGACCCAGCAACGCCGCGUGAAGGAAGAAGGCUUUCGGGUUGUAAACUUCUUUUAAGAGGGAAGAGCAGAAGACGGUACCUCUUGAAUAAGCCACGGCUAACUACGUGCCAGCAGCCGCGGUAAUACGUAGGUGGCAAGCGUUGUCCGGAUUUACUGGGUGUAAAGGGCGUGUAGCCGGGCUGACAAGUCAGAUGUGAAAUUCCGGGGCUCAACCCCGGACCUGCAUUUGAAACUGUUGGUCUUGAGUAUCGGAGAGGCAGGCGGAAUUCCUAGUGUAGCGGUGAAAUGCGUAGAUAUUAGGAGGAACACCAGUGGCGAAGGCGGGUUCCUGGACAUUAACUGACGCUGAGGCACGAAGGCCAGGGGAGCGAAAGGGAUUAGAUACCCCAGUA
rnacentral:rRNA from 1 species